UGGCUAUCUUAAUCCUAUUGACUAGGUG
rnacentral:piRNA from 1 species